GUGAUAAACGGAAUGAUUACAUUUAAUGGUAAAACCAUAACCGAAAUUGAAGCAAAUUUGCAAAUUUGCUUAAUACCCUAAUCACCAAUUAUUUCCAUCUUAUUUGAACUAUACCAAUUAUAAUUUCUUUUUACAAAUCUAUAUUCCAUUUUUACCUUCGCCAUUUUCAUUUAUUUUGUCAUUUCCAUAUCAACCAAAAGUUAAUAACACGGUCCUACUUUCCCGCUACAAAUACCAGCCAUAUCUCCCCUGCCUUUCAAAUCUACAAUGGCAACGAUCGGGAAGCCGGAAUCAGAGGCGGCAGCCUUCGUCGACGGGAAGGGAACUGACGCCCCCGGAGUGAAAUUGCCGGAAUCUGACCCCUCCGCCGCCGAAUCAGUGAAUCAGACACCCAAAUCUGGCACAGAUAUUUCGACGUUACCAGUGCUCACUCGUCCGCCGAUCAACCGUCGCUCUCCGCUUCAAGCCCGAGGGCCCGAGAUCCGGCGACCGUGAGAUCGCGUACGUCAACCACAUGACCAGUCCGAUGAGGACCCAUCCUCUUUAUUAGUUUGUGUUCUCACUCAAGAGCUUG
rnacentral:lncRNA from 1 species